AUUGGCCCUCGUUUUUGGUAAAAGGGUGAGCGCAGAGUCGUCUGGGAAGUCAUGGCGUCGCUAAAUAGUAAGACUGCGAUCUGUGUGAUCUGCUCGGAGAAGCCGAAAUACCGCUGCCCAGCUUGCCGCGUGCCCUACUGCUCGGUCGCCUGUUUCCAGAAGCACAAAGAGCAGUGCAACUCUGAAGCACGUCCUGUUGAGAAAAGCCCAACAGUGGUUCCCGUAAGGACUGAGGAAAACAAAGGUGACGACUCCUCUAUAGCUGAUUUCCUCAACAGUGAUGAGGAAGACGAUAGAGUGUCUGUGCAGAGUUUAAAGAAUCUAGGUAAAUCAGAAACUUUAAGAAGCUUACUGCUCAACCCGCACCUGAGGCAGCUGAUGAUUAGCCUUGAUCAGGGCGACAACAAGGCGAAGCUGAUGAAAGCCUGCAUGCAGGAGCCCCUGUUCGUGGAGUUUGCAGACUGCUGUUUAAGAAUUGUGGAACCAUCCCAGAACAAAGAUUCUUAAAACUGGAUAUGCUGUCUGCUCAAGCCGCCCGCCCACUGCUCCGAGGAGGAGGUUUUCAGGCUGUGGUAGCACGUGUGGGUCUUUUCUAUCACAGCGCUCGCUGCAGAGCCUUUGUGAAGAGGAAACUUGCAGCCCGGAGAGAUGGCUCAGCAGCUAAAGAGCGCUGAUGCUUUUCCAGAGGACCCCAGCACCCACUUGACUACUUAACAACUGUAAUUAGCUCCAGAGGAUUGGACACCCUCUUCUGACCUCUGCAGGAAUGGAAAAAAUGUCUCAAAAGCAGCUGAAGGAAGCUUUUGUCAGUAACCUCAGUGGGACCAGUGUUCUGGAAGUGACCCAGGGCCUGUGCUUUCCUGCGUUCUGUAUCCUGUGUAGAGGCCUUCUGAUCAUUUUCUCACAGCAUUUGUGCUCUUUCUUGCACACCUGGACCACACAAUUCUUCAUGGACUUUGUUGUCUUGAUAGUCCCCCUAGUGAUCACUCUGACUGUAUUGUCUUCCUUUAUCCUCCUUGAGAAUCUCACUGUGAUUGUCUGUGGGGCGUGGCUGUUGUAUCAGAUAUACCACAGGAGGACUUGCUAUGCCAAAGUACCUGUCCAGAAAGUCUUUGCAAGCUUCUUGAAAAUCAGCCUAGAAUCAGAGUACAAUCCAGCCAUCACCUGUUACCGGGUCAUUAACAGUGUAUUUACUGCUAUUGCCAUUUUGGCUGUGGAUUUCCCACUUUUCCCUAGAAGAUUUGCCAAAACUGAACUUUAUGGGACAGGAGCAAUGGAUUUUGGAGUAGGUGGCUUUAUUUUUGGGGCUGCAAUGGUUUGCCCAGAGGUUAGAAGGAAAUAUACAGAAGGGUCUAGAUUUAAUCAUCUUAGAAAAUCGCUGUAUUCUGUCUGGCCAUUAGUCUUCUUAGGAAUGGGAAGGUUAGUCAUUAUAAAAUCCAUAGGCUACCAGGAACAUUCAACUGAGUAUGGAGUUCACUGGAAUUUUUUCUUUACCAUCAUAGUUGUGAAAUUAAUAACAUCACUGCUUUUGAUUAUUUUUCCUUUAAAUAAGUCAUGGAUUGUGGCCAUCAGCAUUACUGUGUUGUACCAGCUUGCCCUUGACUUUACUCCACUCAAGGGGAUAAUUUUGUAUGGCACUGAUGGCAGGGGCACAAGAGUUGGCUUAUUAAAUGCUAACCGAGAGGGAAUAAUUUCCACCUUGGGGUAUGUGGCAAUAUACAUGGCUGGUGUACAAACAGGAUUUUAUGUGUUCAAGAGAAGAGCACAGGUCAGAGACUGGAUAAAAGCUACUUGUUGGGUAUUCUCGGUGGCUGUUGGCUUCUUCAUUUCUCUUAAUAUAGUGCAAGUAAACGUAGAAGCAGUAUCUCGAAGAAUGGCCAAUUUAGCCUUUUGUCUGUGGGUGGUUGCCUCCAGCCUGAUGCUGCUUAGUUGUCUGUUACUGAGUGGUAUCGUUUUGAGUUUUGCCAAAUUUCUAAUUAAAGGGGCUCUAGUUCCAUGUUCUUGGAAACUUAUACAGUCUGCUACUACAAAUAGACAGUCUGAAUCUCUAAUCGUAGAAGCUGAAAAGAACAAACCCAGUUUUUGUUUGAUCACAGCUCUGAACAGAAACCAGUUGUUUUUUUUCUUACUGUCAAAUGUAGCAACUGGUCUGAUUAACCUGACGGUGGAUACAUUACACACUGGUGCCUUUUGGACCUUAGCUGUGCUUAGUAUUUAUAUGUUUGCCAACUGCUUAGUUAUAUAUGUACUUGACUUACAAGGUAAAACCAUAAAGUUCUGGUGAUAAAUGGGUAAGAAAUAUGUAUUUGAUUAGCAUUAUUUUGGUGGAGUAGAAUAAGUGUGGGGGAAAUGUGUUCUUAGCAGCCUAGUCUUAACCAUAUUUUAUUAUGAAGUUUCGAUCCCCUAUGAAAGAAAUUAAACUUUACCUUUUUUAAGGAA